UGAUGCGAGUUACUCUNUGUAGUAUUGCUUGUACAUACUUUUACAUUUAUUCGCAAGAUGUUGUCGGCGUGCACUUCUCCCCUAGUAGAACGUCGCGACCCGUUGGGUGUUGGUCUACGACCCGNGUGGGAGCCUUUAAUAUUUUNAUAAUAUUGAAGACCCUNGGUGUUUUCUGACCGGCUGCC
rnacentral:rRNA from 1 species